rnacentral:rRNA from 1 species
UACGGGGGGGGCAAGCGUUGUUCGGGAUUACUGGGCGUAAAGGGCUCGUAGGCGGCCAACUAAGUCAGACGUGAAAUCCCCAGGCUCAACCUGGGAACUGCGUCUGAUACUGAUUGGCUUGAAUCCGGGAGAGGGAUGCAGAAUUCCAGGUGUAGCGGUGAAAUGCGUAGAUAUCUGGAGGAAUACCGGUGGCGAAGGCGGCAUCCUGGACCGGCAUUGACGCUGAGGAGCGAAAGCCAGGGGAGCAAACGGG